GACGAACGCUGGCGGCGUGCUUAACACAUGCAAGUCGAACGGAAAGGCCCUGCUUUCGUGGGGUGCUCGAGUGGCGAACGGGUGAGUAACACGUGAGUAACCUGCCCUUGACUUUGGGAUAACUUCAGGAAACUGGGGCUAAUACCGGAUAGGAGCUCCUGCUGCAUGGUGGGGGUUGGAAAGUUUCGGCGGUUGGGGAUGGACUCGCGGCUUAUCAGCUUGCUGGUGGGGUAGUGGCUUACCAAGGCUUUGACGGGUAGCCGGCCUGGGAGGGUGACCGGCGACAUUGGGACUGAGAGACGGACCAGAGGCCUACGGGAGGCAGCAGUGGGGAGUAUUGCACAAUGGGCGGAAGCGGGAGGCAGCAACGCCGCGUGCGGGAUGACGGCCUUCGGGUUGUGAACCGCUUUCGCCUGUGACGAAGCGUGAGUGACGGUAAUGGGUAAAGAAGCACCGGCUAACUACGUG
rnacentral:rRNA from 1 species